rnacentral:rRNA from 1 species
UACGAAGGGGGCUAGCGUUGUUCGGAGUUACUGGGCGUAAAGCGCACGUAGGCGGAUCGAUCAGUCAGGGGUGAAAUCCCAGGGCUCAACCCUGGAACUGCCUUUGAUACUGUCGAUCUGGAGUAUGGAAGAGGUGAGUGGAAUUCCGAGUGUAGAGGUGAAAUUCGUAGAUAUUCGGAGGAACACCAGUGGCGAAGGCGGCUCACUGGUCCAUUACUGACGCUGAGGUGCGAAAGCGUGGGGAGCAAACAGG